CUGAACACCUGUCCCUUCGGUUUUCCCUGGGUCUCUUUCAUGAAAAGAUGGGGACUACCAUUCAACUAACGGAUGGACAAGUAAUAGGCUACAUCUGUGGACAGAGGAUGUGUGAUAAUUUGCUCAAAGCCCAACACCCUUUAAAAAAUAGGACCGUAAUUCCACAGAUUUGAAGAGAAAAGGCACCUUUUUAGCUGGUUGGAAGGCUGAAGUGCAAGGCUGAGUAGCUUUGGAGUCACACUCACUGGCUUUGUUCAAAUUCUACACAGUCCCACCCACUGAAUGGACUCAGGCAAGUUACUAAGCUUAAUUUUUCCCCUCCUUUUCAUCCCUUAAGACUGAGUGUGUUGUUAUGAACUGAGCACCAUGAGGCACGGGACUAUAAACUCACCUUCAAAUGUGGUUAGACGUGUGUGUCAACCACCUAGAAUCCAUCCAAGAAGGACAGCUUUCUGGCCCCAUCCCCAGCUUUUACUAUGAGUCCCGUGUCCAUUAAAAUUGAAAUAUCAUUGUA